GAUGAACGCUGGCGGCGUGCCUAAUACAUGCAAGUCGAGCGAACGGACGAGAAGCUUGCUUCUCUGAUGUUAGCGGCGGACGGGUGAGUAACACGUGGAUAACCUACCUAUAAGACUGGGAUAACUUCGGGAAACCGGAGCUAAUACCGGAUGAUAUUUUGAACCGCAUGGUUCAAAAGUGAAAGACGGUCUUGCUGUCACUUAUAGAUGGAUCCGCGCUGCAUUAGCUAGUUGGUAAGGUAACGGCUUACCAAGGCAACGAUGCAUAGCCGACCUGAGAGGGUGAUCGGCCACACUGGAACUGAGACACGGUCCAGACUCCUACGGGAGGCAACAGUAGGGAAUCUUCCGCAAUGGGCGAAAGCCUGACGGAGCAACGCCGCGUGAGUGAUGAAGGUCUUCGGAUCGUAAAACUCUGUUAUUAGGGAAGAACAUAUGUGUAAGUAACUGUGCACAUCUUGACGGUACCUAAUCAGAAAGCCACGGCUAACUACGUG
rnacentral:rRNA from 1 species